rnacentral:rRNA from 1 species
GGUUAAGCGACUAAGCGUACACGGUGGAUGCCCUGGCAGUCAGAGGCGAUGAAGGACGUGCUAAUCUGCGAUAAGCGUCGGUAAGGUGAUAUGAACCGUUAUAACCGGCGAUUUCCGAAUGGGGAAACCCAGUGUGAUUCGUCACACUAUCAUUAACUGAAUCCAUAGGUUAAUGAGGCGAACCGGGGGAACUGAAACAUCUAAGUACCCCGAGGAAAAGAAAUCAACCGAGAUUCCCCCAGUAGCGGCGAGCGAACGGGGAGCAGCCCAGAGCCUGAAUCAGUGUGUGUGUUAGUGGAAGCGUCUGGAAAGGCGCGCGAUACAGGGUGACAGCCCCGUACACAAAAAUGCACAUGCUGUGAGCUCGAUGAGUAGGGCGGGACACGUGGUAUCCUGUCUGAAUAUGGGGGGACCAUCCUCCAAGGCUAAAUACUCCUGACUGACCGAUAGUGAACCAGUACCGUGAGGGAAAGGCGAAAAGAACCCCGGCGAGGGGAGUGAAAAAGAACCUGAAACCGUGUACGUACAAGCAGUGGGAGCACGCUUAGGCGUGUGACUGCGUACCUUUUGUAUAAUGGGUCAGCGACUUAUAUUCUGUAGCAAGGUUAACCGAAUAGGGGAGCCGAAGGGAAACCGAGUCUUAACUGGGCGUUAAGUUGCAGGGUAUAGACCCGAAACCCGGUGAUCUAGCCAUGGGCAGGUUGAAGGUUGGGUAACACUAACUGGAGGACCGAACCGACUAAUGUUGAAAAAUUAGCGGAUGACUUGUGGCUGGGGGUGAAAGGCCAAUCAAACCGGGAGAUAGCUGGUUCUCCCCGAAAGCUAUUUAGGUAGCGCCUCGUGAAUUCAUCUCCGGGGGUAGAGCACUGUUUCGGCAAGGGGGUCAUCCCGACUUACCAACCCGAUGCAAACUGCGAAUACCGGAGAAUGUUAUCACGGGAGACACACGGCGGGUGCUAACGUCCGUCGUGAAGAGGGAAACAACCCAGACCGCCAGCUAAGGUCCCAAAGUCAUGGUUAAGUGGGAAACGAUGUGGGAAGGCCCAGACAGCCAGGAUGUUGGCUUAGAAGCAGCCAUCAUUUAAAGAAAGCGUAAUAGCUCACUGGUCGAGUCGGCCUGCGCGGAAGAUGUAACGGGGCUAAACCAUGCACCGAAGCUGCGGCAGCGACGCUUAUGCGUUGUUGGGUAGGGGAGCGUUCUGUAAGCCUGUGAAGGUGUACUGUGAGGUAUGCUGGAGGUAUCAGAAGUGCGAAUGCUGACAUAAGUAACGAUAAAGCGGGUGAAAAGCCCGCUCGCCGGAAGACCAAGGGUUCCUGUCCAACGUUAAUCGGGGCAGGGUGAGUCGACCCCUAAGGCGAGGCCGAAAGGCGUAGUCGAUGGGAAACAGGUUAAUAUUCCUGUACUUGGUGUUACUGCGAAGGGGGGACGGAGAAGGCUAUGUUGGCCGGGCGACGGUUGUCCCGGUUUAAGCGUGUAGGCUGGUUUUCCAGGCAAAUCCGGAAAAUCAAGGCUGAGGCGUGAUGACGAGGCACUACGGUGCUGAAGCAACAAAUGCCCUGCUUCCAGGAAAAGCCUCUAAGCAUCAGGUAACAUCAAAUCGUACCCCAAACCGACACAGGUGGUCAGGUAGAGAAUACCAAGGCGCUUGAGAGAACUCGGGUGAAGGAACUAGGCAAAAUGGUGCCGUAACUUCGGGAGAAGGCACGCUGAUAUGUAGGUGAAGUCCCUCGCGGAUGGAGCUGAAAUCAGUCGAAGAUACCAGCUGGCUGCAACUGUUUAUUAAAAACACAGCACUGUGCAAACACGAAAGUGGACGUAUACGGUGUGACGCCUGCCCGGUGCCGGAAGGUUAAUUGAUGGGGUUAGCGCAAGCGAAGCUCUUGAUCGAAGCCCCGGUAAACGGCGGCCGUAACUAUAACGGUCCUAAGGUAGCGAAAUUCCUUGUCGGGUAAGUUCCGACCUGCACGAAUGGCGUAAUGAUGGCCAGGCUGUCUCCACCCGAGACUCAGUGAAAUUGAACUCGCUGUGAAGAUGCAGUGUACCCGCGGCAAGACGGAAAGACCCCGUGAACCUUUACUAUAGCUUGACACUGAACAUUGAGCCUUGAUGUGUAGGAUAGGUGGGAGGCUUUGAAGUGUGGACGCCAGUCUGCAUGGAGCCGACCUUGAAAUACCACCCUUUAAUGUUUGAUGUUCUAACGUGGACCCGUAAUCCGGGUUGCGGACAGUGUCUGGUGGGUAGUUUGACUGGGGCGGUCUCCUCCUAAAGAGUAACGGAGGAGCACGAAGGUUGGCUAAUCCUGGUCGGACAUCAGGAGGUUAGUGCAAUGGCAUAAGCCAGCUUGACUGCGAGCGUGACGGCGCGAGCAGGUGCGAAAGCAGGUCAUAGUGAUCCGGUGGUUCUGAAUGGAAGGGCCAUCGCUCAACGGAUAAAAGGUACUCCGGGGAUAACAGGCUGAUACCGCCCAAGAGUUCAUAUCGACGGCGGUGUUUGGCACCUCGAUGUCGGCUCAUCACAUCCUGGGGCUGAAGUAGGUCCCAAGGGUAUGGCUGUUCGCCAUUUAAAGUGGUACGCGAGCUGGGUUUAGAACGUCGUGAGACAGUUCGGUCCCUAUCUGCCGUGGGCGCUGGAGAACUGAGGGGGGCUGCUCCUAGUACGAGAGGACCGGAGUGGACGCAUCACUGGUGUUCGGGUUGUCAUGCCAAUGGCACUGCCCGGUAGCUAAAUGCGGAAGAGAUAAGUGCUGAAAGCAUCUAAGCACGAAACUUGCCCCGAGAUGAGUUCUCCCUGACUCCUUGAGAGUCCUGAAGGAACGUUGAAGACGACGACGUUGAUAGGCCGGGUGUGUAAGCGCAGCGAUGCGUUGAGCUAACCGGUACUAAUGAACCGUGAGGCUUAACCUU